rnacentral:rRNA from 1 species
GACGAACGCUGGCGGCGUGCCUAAUACAUGCAAGUAGAACGCUGAAGGAGGAGCUUGCUCUUUCCGGAUGAGUUGCGAACGGGUGAGUAACGCGUAGGUAACCUGCCUGGUAGCGGGGGAUAACUAUUGGAAACAAUAGCUAAUGCCGCAUAAUAGCAGUUAUUGCAUGAUAACUGUUUGAAAGGUGCAAAUGCACCACUACCAGAUGGACCUGCGUUGUAUUAGCUAGUUGGUGAGGUAACGGCUCACCAAGGCGACGAUACAUAGCCGACCUGAGAGGGUGAUCGGCCACACUGGGACUGAGACACGGCCCAGACUCCUACGGGAGGCAGCAGUAGGGAAUCUUCGGCAAUGGACGGAAGUCUGACCGAGCAACGCCGCGUGAGUGAAGAAGGUUUUCGGAUCGUAAAGCUCUGUUGUAAGAGAAGAACGAGUGUGAGAGUGGAAAGUUCACACUGUGACG